UUUAUGGAGAGUUUGAUCCUGGCUCAGAGUGAACGCUGGCGGCGUGCCUAACACAUGCAAGUCGUGCGGGAUUCUGCAGAGUAUCGCAGAGUCUAGCGGCAAACGGGUGAGUAACGCGUAGGAAACCUCCCUCAAAAUGGGGAAUAUUUCCGAGAAAUCGGAGGCAAUACCGCAUAAGACCACAGUUUGGCAUCAAAUAGUGGUUAAAGUAGCAAUGCGUUUUGAGAUGGUCCUGCGUCCUAUCAGCUAGUUGGCGGGGUAACGGCUCGCCAAGGCUAUGACGGGUAUCCGGCCUUAAAGGGUGAACGGACACACUGGAACUGAGACACGGUCCAGACUCCUAUGGGAGGCAGCAGUGGGGAAUUUUGGACAAUGCGGGCUUAAUCUCCUGGCGCUACCGCGCGCGGAUGAGAGCCUU
rfam:Candidatus Endomicrobium trichonymphae strain CET450 CET450_Contig230, whole genome shotgun sequence.